UAUUCUCAGGGCGGGGCGAAAUUCCCCACCGGCGGUAAAUCGGCAGGUGUAAACCUUAUGCUGAAAGCCCGCGAGCGCUUCAGGUGUAAAUCUGAAGGUCAGCAGAUCCGGUGUAAUUCCGGGGCCGACGGUUAGAGUCCGGAUGGGAGAGAGU
rnacentral:ncRNA from 1 species